UUAUCUGAUGAAAACAACUGUACCUCACAGACAACAAGUGGAAGAAAUGCAAGAUCAGCUGCAGGAGGCCAAGCUCAUCUUCAAUCACCAGAUCGCAGUUCAGGAGAGAAAUGCUCUGGCUAACUGGGACAGUACAGAUGUGAGAGAGUUUCCUCAUUGGCCAGGGCCCCUCUGUAUGCCCUAACACAUGGGGCAGAAUUUACCAGGCUUCCCUCCUCCUCCUCCACCUCCACACUGGUGGACACGGGGGCCUCAGCCACACCUCGUUCCUCCACCACAUGGUCUUCCUUCCCAUUCAGAAGCCUGUGGAGCUCAAGGGGACAAUAGCAGCACUGUGCCCAAGAAGGUCUCAGAGAAGAACCAAGUAAAUACAGGGGCUGUUUUCAGUUGUACCCAUUUCUGGAGUCCUGUUCCUCUCUGGGCAGCAGCAUCUUCUCACCUUGUGUCUAUUGGCAUUUUGAAAGGUAAACACCAUUACACACAGAUCCUACGAUAUACCCAAUCCUUCAUGUGGAGCUUAUAGGCUUUUCU